CGCGGCCUAUCAGCUUGUUGGUGGGGUAACGGCCUACCAAGGCAUUGACGGGUAGCUGGCGUGAGAGCGUGGCCAGCCACACUGGGACUGAGACACGGCCCAGACUCCUACGGGAGGCAGCAGUAGGGAAUCUUGCGCAAUGGGCGAAAGCCUGACGCAGCGACGCCGCGUGAGGGAUGAAGGCUUUCGGGUUGUAAACCUCUUUCAGCAGGGACGAAGCGAAAGUGACAGUACCUGCAGAAGAAGCCCCGGCUAACUACGUGCCAGCAGCCGCGGUAAUACGUAGGGCGCAAGCGUUAUCCGGAAUUAUUGGGCGUAAAGAGCUCGUAGGCGGUUUGUCGCGUCGGGAGUGAAAACUCGGAGCUUAACUCCGAGCCUGCUUCCGAUACGGGCAGACUAGAGGUAUGCAGGGGAGAACGGAAUUCCUGGUGUAGCGGUGAAAUGCGCAGAUAUCAGGAGGAACACCGGUGGCGAAGGCGGUUCUCUGGGCAUUACCUGACGCUGAGGAGCGAAAGUGUGGGGAGCGAACAGGAUUAGAUACCCUGGUAGUCCAUGCCGUAAACGUUGGGCGCUAGGUGUGGGGGACAUUCCACGUCCUCCGUGCCGCAGCUAACGCAUUAAGCGCCCCGCCUGGGGAGUACGG
rnacentral:rRNA from 1 species